rnacentral:rRNA from 1 species
CCUACGAGAGGCUGCAGUGAGGAAUAUUGGUCAAUGGGCGCGAGCCUGAACCAGCCAAGUAGCGUGAAGGAUGACUGCCCUACGGGUUGUAAACUUCUUUUAUAAAGGAAUAAAGUGAGGCACGUGUGCCUUUUUGUAUGUACUUUAUGAAUAAGGAUCGGCUAACUCCAUGCCAGCAGCCGCGGUAAUACGGAGGAUCCGAGCGUUAUCCGGCUUUAUUGGGUUUAAAGGGAGCCUAGAUGGGUUGUUAAUUCAGUUGUGAAAGUUUGCGGCUCAACCGUAAAAUUGCAAUGGAUACUGGCAGUCUUGAGUACAGUUGAGGUAGGCUGAAUUCGUGGUGUAGCGGUGAAAUGCUUAGAGAUCACGAAGAACUCCGAUUGCGAAGGCAGCUUACUAAACUGCCACUGACAUUGAUGCUCGAAAGUGUGGGUAUCAAACAGGAUUAGAUACCCUAGUAGUC